GCGUUGGUGGUUUAGUGGUAAAAUUCAUCGUUGCCAAGAACGUGAUGAGUAGAAUUGAGAUUAAUCUCAGUAUCAAUUCAAUCUCAUGAGGAGAACAUCGAUGAGCCCCGGGUUCGAUUCCCGGCCGACGCA